rnacentral:rRNA from 1 species
CCACGGGGGGCAGCAGUGGGGAAUAUUGGACAAUGGGCGAAAGCCUGAUCCAGCCAUGCCGCGUGUGUGAAGAAGGCCUUCGGGUUGUAAAGCACUUUCAGUGGGGAAGAAAGCCUUGGGGCUAAUACCCUCGAGGAAGGACAUCACCCACAGAAGAAGCACCGGCUAACUCCGUGCCAGCAGCCGCGGUAAUACGGAGGGUGCGAGCGUUAAUCGGAAUUACUGGGCGUAAAGCGCGCGUAGGCGGUCUGAUAAGCCGGUUGUGAAAGCCCCGGGCUCAACCUGGGAACGGCAUCCGGAACUGUCAGGCUAGAGUGCAGGAGAGGAAGGUAGAAUUCCCGGUGUAGCGGUGAAAUGCGUAGAGAUCGGGAGGAAUACCAGUGGCGAAGGCGGCCUUCUGGACUGACACUGACGCUGAGGUGCGAAAGCGUGGGUAGCAAACAGGAUUAGAUACCCUAGUAGUC